rnacentral:tRNA from 1 species
GGCYAUGUAGCUCAGCUGGUUAGAGCACAGCAUUCAUAAUGCUGGGGUCGGUGGUUCAAAUCCACCCGUAGCUACCA